AUUGAACGCUGGCGGCAGGCCUAACACAUGCAAGUCGAACGGCAGCAGGGUAAGUGCUCGUGGUUACAGCGGGGGAGUGGUGGAUGGGGGCGGGGAACAUCGCAGGGUAUGAGUGCUCGGGGGAGAACGUAGGAGCACAUACGGCAUGAGGGCAGAGGAGGGACGGGGGAAAGCAUGGGACCUUCGGACCUUGCGCGAUCCAAUGAGGGAAUGUCGGAUUAGCUAGUUAGUGGGGUAAAGGCCCACCAAGGCGUCGAUCCGUAGCUGGUCUGAGAGGAGAAUCAGCCACACUGGAACUGAGACACGGUCCAGACUCCUACGGGAGGCAGCAGUGGGGAAUAUUGGACAAUGGGCGCAAGCCUGAUCCAGCCAUGCCGCGUGUGUGAAGAAGGCCUUCGGGUUGUAAAGCACUUUUGUUGGGGAAGAAAAGCAGUAGGUUAAUACCUGGCUGUUUUGACGGUACCAAAAGAAUAAGCACCGGCUAACUUCGUG
rnacentral:rRNA from 1 species